rnacentral:sRNA from 1 species
AAGAAUUGUUAAAUUUGAGGAAAUACAAAGUACUCAUCCAACAAAUGUUUUUAUUUUUUAGCUAAUCUGAUUAAUUUCUACCAUCAUAGGUUUUUAUGGGAAGUUCCAUAAAUUUAAAGGGAAUAUUUACAUAUACAUGCUGGGGAAGUGCCAUUAAUACUAUUUUACUCUAUUUGAUUGGACAAAUGGUUCUUAUGUAACUCUGCUGUGCCUAAGAAUCACUUGGGGUGCUUGCUAAAAUGCAGAUUUCUUGACCCCUGUCUCAGAGAUUGAUUCAGUAAUUCUUGAGUAGGCAUCAGGAAUCAGUAUUUUAAAACAUACACCCCAGGUUAUUCUGAUGCAAGUGAUAUGAGCAUUACAUGGUGAAAAAUAGUGGGACAAUGUCUGAAUCCCAGGAUAUUCUAUAGGAAUCCACUCAGCCAGUCAUAUUUAGAACACUAAUAUCUAUAUGCCUCUAUAUGAAUCUUGAGGCACUAUGUUAGAUUUAAUUGAAUUGGUUCUGACUUAGUGAUAUAUUGAAGAUGAUAAUUUUUUGGAUUGGAGCUUCAAUAUUAGCUUUUUUUUGUCUAAUUAUAGAUUUCAGAACAUAGAAGAUGUUUGUUGUUCCUUUGGGCUUUAUGGAAGAUUUUUAUGUUCUGCUUAAAUCAGUUUUCUACGACAGUUCUGAAUAGCAAAUAUUAUCAGUUUUCUUUUGCAUUACUUUACAGAAAAUGUUUACUCAAAAGUUGGAAUAUUAAUCUGUAUACUAUUUCAAUGCCAUAAUAACUUCAAAGAUUGGAUUUUCUUGCUACUAUCUUAAGUUUUUUAAAAUAAAUCUUCUUGAUGGGUAAAAGUGAAUAAGGGCAAGUUAAUAUUUUAAUAGAAAAAGUAGAGAGAUAUGAUGCCACCUAUAUAUUUGCAUAUAUAUAUAUAUAUAUAUAUAUAUAUAUAUAUAUAUAUGGUAUGUAACCAUUCACUUGAAAGGCUGCUGUGAAAACCAAUACAUUAAGUUCAUUUAGCAUGUAACAUUUUAUAUAUGACACCAUUAAUGUAUAUUUGGGACUUGAUACUUCCUUUGUGCAAGAUGAACUAGAAUAAUUUUUGCUGAAUGGUAAUUUUUUUUUUUUUUUUUUGCUGACUUCCACUGGGAAUAAGAGGUACAUCAUGCUCUACCUGAGAUCAACUACAUAUUGAUCUUCAUUUCCUUUUCUGAAAGGCAGCAUUAUGAGCGUGUAAUUGCCUAAGCCAAAGGCACCCAAAAAUAGAUCCUAAAAGCUUAUCUGGUAGAUUUCAAAGCUGGUGGUCUCACAUCAACACUGACUAGUAUUCCUAGCAGAGGGGAGAGAUGUCACAGAUACCCCAAACCUGUGAGUUAGGAUUAUUCAAGGACUUGUAUUGUCACUCUAAUUACCUUCCAUCUUUUCCUCAACCUCCACUUAAUACUUACAAGUAAUUAUUUCAUAUAAUAAAAUAGGGGUAAUUGAUUUAAAUAAUAACAACAGUGAAAAACAGUGUAGACAAUACACAUUUUUGAAGUUUUUGCAUGUAUAUUCUGCAUUAGCAAUGCUUUAGGUCUGGAAAAGUGUGGAUUAACAUAUAAUUUGCUCUGCCUAGUGUGUUGUUAUUAGUUUUGUUGAAUGUGACACUGUUUCUGAAGCUGUCAAAGAUAGAACAUGCUGCUCAGUCCUUUUACCGUCUCCGCCUCCAAGAAGAGAAAUCUUUAAAGUAAGUCUUUUUCCCCCUGACCUGUAUUCACCGUAUUAUUUCAGUAAUUCUUCAGUUGCAGAAAACUUAAUUUCAGUUUCAGAGAUUGUGGUCUGCUAACUAUCCUGUAGCCAUAAACAGCCUGUUUUUGUUUGUUUAAUUUUGUGUUUUGUUUGCAAAUUUAUGGGGCUCUGAUGAUUUCUGGAAAUGAAAAAAAGAUCAGAAGCUAUUCUCCAGAUUUUGAAGAUGGCAUUUUUCUUUCAGUUUAGCCUCUGAUAUGGUGUCAAGAGCAGAAACUAUUCAGAAGAAUAAAGAUCAGGCCCAUCGUUUAAAGGGAGUGCUCCGAGACUCCAUAGUGAUGCUUGAACAGCUGAAGAGCUCACUCAUUAUGCUUCAGAAAACGUUUGAUCUACUAAAUAAGAAUAAGACGGGCAUGGCUGUUGAAAGCUAGUGAUCUGAAGGACUAAAACUGCAGAGAUACUUGGAACUUAAAGAAAAUACCUGGAAGAAAACCAGACGAAUGAAGGAUUUUGGCAUAGAACAUUUCUAUGUUUUUUCAUUAUUGAGAUUUCUAAUAUGAACAUUUCUUUCAGUAACAUUUAUUUGAUAAUUAGUUUCUGCUGGCCUUAAUAAUCCAUCCUUUCACUUCUUAUAGAUAUUUUUAAGCUGUGAAUUUCUUCAGUGAACCAUGAAAUAUAUUAUAGAACUGAAUUUCUCUGAUACAAAAAGAAAAUGACACACCCUGAAUUGAGUGGUAUGGUCUCAUUUCUACAGUGAAGUCUGAUGCUUUGUUAGCACAGAAUCCGUACAUGUCCAAUAGGUCGCUUUCGUAACUGAGAUAAGACCAAGAGGAUAAACAGGACAAUGUAAGAAGAAACCUCUAUGUCAUUACUGAUUUUAAAGGUUCUGUUUUCAGGCAUAUAACAUUUCCAGGUUUGUGUACUGUAAAUAUUAUAAUGUCUUCAUUUAUUUAGCAUGCAAAUUUAAUAGUCAAACUUUUUGAAUCUGCAUGUUGACAAUGAUUAUCAGAAAGGGUCUUCUGCCAUGCUGUAUCUUUAUGAAAGAAAUAGUUGUUUUUUCUUAAGGUAACUAUCAGAGGUGGGAUUAUCUUGCCUCCUCACUUAGGAUACCAACAGUCAAAAGGAAGAACCAUCCUCUGAGUUUUAAAAACCAGAAGGUUAUGUUAAAAUCUGGGCAUUUAGUGACAGAUCAAAUGCAUACUUGAACUAAGAUUGGCUUCAGCUUAGCAGUCUUUCAUGGUGGAAGUGACACAUCUGGUUGAAAAUAAUUUGUGUAUUUUCAGUAACCAUGUAUGGCUUCCUUCUUUAUGUAUGUGUGUGACUUGUUUUGGUUGGUAAGUUAUAAGCCAGACAUAGAUUUUAGCUCUUUAAUAAAAACUUCAGGGGCACGUAUGUCCCAGUACAAGUGUACUGACUAUCAAGUUUUAACUCAGAUGCAAGCUUUGGCUGUUUCAUAAAAAGUUUUUAUGCAUAUGUGUCUCCAUACAAGUGGCUCAUUAAAAUAAGAACUUUGUAAACUGACUUAAAAUCAGAUAUUUUUUCAAGAGUUAGGGAAAGCUGAAGUGUUUUACUGUUUUGUCUCUUGAGCCCUUUCUCUGGGGAAAAAAUACAUAUCCAUCUAUCUAUCUAUAUAUAAAAUGUGUAUACAUUCUUACUGUUUGAACAACUAUUGCCUUUAAUUAAAUGUUUCAUUUUUCUCCAGAGUCCCCAAAGCCACAUGGCAUUAUUAUAGUCAUUUUUGAGAUGCCUGUAGAGAAUGAAAGUAUUGGCUCCGUUAGAGGGAAAAUGGGUUUCUCUGGGUGAAUUCCAACGAAGCAUACCUAGGGGUAACAGUGAACCUACCUGGGUUUGUUUUGUUUUGGUAAGGAUUUAUGUAGUGUCUGGCUGUAAGCAAGAAUGAGUGGAUUAUAAACUUGAAGAUUUCUCUGUUAAAGUCACAAAAAUGAUCGACAAACAAUAUUUUUGUGAUGUUUAUUUAAACGUUGUAUUUUAUAACAUACUUCAAGGAAGAGUAUCGAAGUAAGUUGCUUUAUAAAUUAAGACUAAAUUCGUAUGGAUGCAGAAUUCAAUUAACAAAAUUUGAGCCUGUUACGUAAAUUGAAUAUCAAUAAAAUUGAAAAUUUCUGA